AUACAGAGGGUGCAAGCGUUAAUCGGAAUUACUGGGCGUAAAGCGCACGUAGGUGGUUCAUUAAGUCAGAUGUGAAAGCCCCGGGCUCAACCUGGGAACUGCAUUUGAAACUGGUGAGCUAGAGUAUGGUAGAGGUAAGUGGAAUUCCAGGUGUAGCGGUGAAAUGCGUAGAUAUCUGGAGGAACAUCAGUGGCGAAGGCGACUUACUGGACCAAUACUGACACUGAGGUGCGAAAGCGUGGGGAGCAAACAGGAUUAGAAACCCUAGUAGUCC
rnacentral:rRNA from 1 species